rnacentral:rRNA from 1 species
GAUGAACGCUGGCGGCGUGCCUAAUACAUGCAAGUCGAGCGAACAGACGAGGAGCUUGCUCCUCUGACGUUAGCGGCGGACGGGUGAGUAACACGUGGAUAACCUACCUAUAAGACUGGGAUAACUUCGGGAAACCGGAGCUAAUACCGGAUAAUAUAUUGAACCGCAUGGUUCAAUAGUGAAAGACGGUUUUGCUGUCACUUAUAGAUGGAUCCGCGCCGCAUUAGCUAGUUGGUAAGGUAACGGCUUACCAAGGCAACGAUGCGUAGCCGACCUGAGAGGGGGGUACGGCCCACAGGGAAAGAGAGACGGGGCCGAGUCCCCAGGGGGGGAGAAGUGGGGGAAAUUUGCCGAUGGGGGCAAAGCCGAGACAGACAAACCCCGGGGGGGAAGGAAGGUUUUGGGGUUGAAAAACCUUUUUUUUGGGGAAAAAAAAAGUGUGUAAAUACCUAGCCGCUUUUAAGGGGCCCCAAAAAAAAAACCCGGGGAAACUAGGG